GGCGCCCUGGGCAGGUUGCACACCCGGGGGUCGGAGACUGGGAGAACUGGGUGUGGGGGGACGGCGGAGCUGAGAUCCGGGAUCGCGGCAGAGGGAGCCCAGAGGGUCGGUGGCCCCAGGAGAGGAGCAGCCAGUCCAUCGGUUGACGGGCUAGAGGAUCCAAAAGGAAGAGCUUCUUCAGGGCGAAGGUGUCUGUUUGGGGAGUCUUGGGUGGGCGACCGUCUCUGACCCUGCAGAUAUGAGAGUCCCGCGCCUGCCUGCAGGGACGCCAUCAAGGGCAUUGGGCCCUGGUGCGAAGAGGCUCUUUAUUAGUAGUAAUAUUUUGAUAAAGCAAUACAUUGAUAUAUUUCAAAAGGCACAGACUCGCACAAGGCUCUGUUUCCCAGAGCAGCCACUCUUUCAUCUUCCCCCCAUUUCCAGCUCCCUGAGGAAACAGUUUCAAACCUUUGAACAUUUUUUACCUAAGGAUUGCCCUUCUUCCCCUUGUAUCGGCAUCUCUUCCCUGUGCUCUUCAUCAGCUUCACUAAAUCUGUAUACUUUGUUCUGAAAGAUUCACUCACUGGUUUCUUUUGCCUCUUGGCCAAACCUUUCUGCUGAGUACCUGGGGUCAGCUUUUGUUUUUUCUUUUUUCGUUUUCUAGUUACAGCUUGAAUACAUUUUGCAGUGCUUCCUUUUUGACAACUCAGCUUGGAAUGACCAGAAUCUACCAGGUUUGUGUGGGAGUGGUUUUACGGCUUUGUCUCAGGCUUUCGUGUAUUUUAAUUUUGAUCAAGAUGUUGUGUAUUUAUUUGACACAAAAGAUAUGAAACAUUUCUGGAAGAUAUAAAAAAUACUACUUAAUCUAUGAUCUAUGAGUUUCCUACUCAUUUUAAGAAAUAGAACUCUAUCUUUAAAACCCUUUGUGUAGCCCCAAUCUUCAGAGCUCCCUCCUUUACCCGGAGGUUUCAUAAACAUUUUGUAGUUUUCAGUAUACAACUUCCAUUAUGUUUCACUAGAUUUAUACCUAAAUACUUAAUAUUUUUGAGCUAUUGUAAACAGUAUAUUUUUAUUUUAGUUGCCAUGUUUUAUUCUUAGUACAUAUAGUUGAUUUUUGUACAUUGAGGAUGUAUCCUACGACCUUGCUUAGCUUAGUUGUUCUAAGAGUUUUAUUUAUUUUGUAGAUUCCUUGAAUUUUCCAUGUAAACAAUCACACUGUUAUGAAUUGAGUUGUGUUCCCCAAAAUAUGUGUUAUAAAUCUUAACCUCUGCACCUGUGGUUAUAAUCCCAUUUGGGAAUGGGUUGUCUUUGUUAUUUAAUGAGGCAGGAUUAGUGUAGGGUGUGUCUUGAGUCCAUCUCUUUUGAGAUAUAAAAGAGAUUAAACAAGAGAGCCAGCAAGCACAAAUGGGGGAAGAGUGAUGCCAAGCCACAUGGAGAUCUCCAAGGAGCCAGGAAACAAGCUGAAGAGACAAGGACCUUCCUCCAGAGCCGACAGAGAGCCUUCUCCUAGAGCUGGCACUCUGAAUUUGGAAUUCUAGCCUCCAAAACUAUGAGAAAAUAAAUUUCAGUUUGUUAAAGCCAUCCACUUGUGGCAUUUCUAUUGUAACAGCACUAGAUACCUAAGAUACGUACCACCUGCAAAUAAAAAAAAAAAAAAGGCAGUUGUAUUUUGGCCUUAUCUGCAUGAAUUUUAUUUCUGUUUCUUCCUUUAUUUUGCCGACUAGGACUUCUAGUAUUAUGUUGAAUAAGAGUACUGAGAGUGGACAUCCUUGCCCGGUUCGUAAUCUUGGAGGAAAGCGUGCAGUUUUUCAGUAUUAACCUUUUGAUGUAGUCAUUGAAUUGAUUUUCCAAUGUUGAACCAGCCUUGCAAACCUGGAGUAAACUUUACUUGGUCAUGUGGCUGCUUAAAAAUCCUUGUCAGAUAUUCCAGCGCUUUGGUGUUGAUGUCUGUUGAUUUUCUUUCAUCAUCCCAGUCAAUAUUUUUUAGUUCUUGCCACAGAAAGCUGUACACCAGGCUGGUUUGAUGCCCGACCUGUCAAGUCUACAUGUGCUGGGUCCCCACAGAGACGAAGGAUUUGUGGUCCUGCUUGCCUUGAUAAUUACCUCAGUGCUGAAGAUGUGGAGAGUUGCCUCUCUGAUUACCGAAUUCAGGAUGGGGCAUCAGACGUUCAUUUUUUUCUACACCAGAGAAGGCAGGUGGAGUGCUGAGGCUUCGUUUAAACUCUAGUCAGAAGAUAUAUCAAAUGGCCCUGAAAAAGGCAGAGAAACCACAGCACACGGAUUUAUUGAAGUGUUCAGGUCAUGUGGAACUAAAGUGGAUUGGACGUUGAAGCACAGUGAUGCGUAUAGUAUUUGUGAGAACCAGCAUAUGUUGAUACUGCUAGUUUUCUAGAAAAACACCACUUCUUUCAGUCUAACAUUACAGGUAACCGAGGAACAGUGAGCAGCUGUUCUUACAGAAGUGGUAGCCGUGUAACCAGUUUACAUCAGAAGCUUAUGAAAUCAGUAUUUUUCAAAAAAUUCCUGUUCAGUAUUUUGUAAUGUAAACAUUUCUCUUGCCUUUUGAGCUUAUUUCAACUUAAUAUAUUGAUAUCAUAGUGGCGUACCUCAGAAGAAGCCCAGGUGCUGCAGUCGUUAAGUGCUCGGCUGCUAACCGAAAGGUCGGUGGCUUGAACCCACUAGUGGGUCCACAGGAGAAGAGACCUGGUGAUCUGCUCCCGUGAGGAUUACAGCCUAAGAAACCCUAUGGGGCAGUUGUAGUCUGUCAUAUAAGGUCGCUAUGAGUCAGAAUCGACCCCAUAGCGCACACACAAAUGAAGUGUACCUCAGGAGCAAUGUGUCUGUGUUAAUUUAAUUUCAUUUAUGUUAAAUAUGGCUUUUAUGCCAUGUCCUGAAUACAUCUAAGAGACAUGCUUUUUUUUCAAAAAAUUCAGUUAAAGGUGCUAAAUCCAUAAUUCUAAAAACAUUUGGCAUGUUUGUUAAUGCUAGUUUUAAAAAUCUAUAAUUCUUUAAGGUAAGUAUAAGAUUUUACAACACUAACUUUGAAAAAUUAAGAUAUCCUAAUAGUAGAGGGUUUGGCCUUUGUGGUUUUUUUUAAUAGUAGAAGGUUUGGUCUUUGUGCUUAUAUGAAAUUGUGAAGUCUUGAUUUAAACCUCUCUUUUACGGUCAUAUUAUUUUAGGUUUAUUUUGGUAAGUAAACCUUUAAUAAAUUUUUGCAAUCGAGGUAAAUUGUCUUUCACAGAAGGACUCACAGGACUCAGCAUACAGUUGUACUCACAGCUGAGAUUUGUUACAGUGAAAGGAUACAAAGCAGAAUCAGUAAAGGGAAGCUGCCCAGUGGAUGAAGUCCAGAGGGAACCAGACACAGCUUUCAGAAGUCCCCCUCCGUGGAGUCACCCAGGCAGCGCUCAGUUCCCCUAGCAACAAGUGUGACAAGUGUGAAGCGUUGCCUACCAGGGAAGUUCACCUGAAGCUCGGUCAGAGAGGCACGUAGCACCGAGUGACGACGACAAUCACUGAAGUCCCAGACUCAGGAGAGCAGCUGUUCAGCACGACCCGCAGUGUUUGUAUAAACAGUUUGGCCCAGUGAGCCACUCGUAUCAUUUAGGGAAAGUUUUAUGUCAUUGUUGGGGACCGUUCUCAGAUACCUGCCAAGGACCAUCCUUCUUGCAAGCAGGCCUUUCCAAGGAUAGCUGUCUCAGGCCUGCCAUGUUAACUCUUUCAGGAACAAACAUAAGGAAUAAAUGCACCAAUUAAAUGACAGCAAUUGUCAGAACGGAUUAAAAAAAAUGAUCCAACUAUAUGCUGUCUGGAAGUUACAUGUAUGUAGGCGAGGAAAGGAAGUAAUACCCAUCAGAAUAGCUGACGUGAAAAAUGGUGAUAACACCACAUGCUGAUGCAGAUGUCAGGAACCUAGAUCCCUCGUAAAAAUGGCUUAGCCACUCUGGAAAGUAGUUCGUCCAUUCCUUAAGAAACCAAACAGGCAUUUACCAUAUGAUAAAUUGAACUUUUGGGCAUUUAUUCUAGAAAAAUGAAAAUCUGUGCUUACACAAAAACUCUACACAAAUGUUUAUAGCAGUUUUUAUUCAUAAUAGCCCAAAACUGGAAACAACCUCAGAUGCCCCUCAGUGGGUAAAUGACUGUCUUAGUCUGGGUUCUCUAGAGUUGUAAAACCAGUGAAGCUUAUAUAGGUAUAAAAAAAAGUAUGGAGAGAGAAAUUUACUUCAAGGAAAUGGCUCAUGCAAUUAUGAGGACUGGCAAGUCCCAAAUCUGUGGGUCAGGCAACAGGCGGAAGACCUCUGCUGGCUCACAGGGUUGCAGGGGCUGACAAACCUACAAUCCGCAGGUCAGGUGACAGGCUGGAGGCCUCUGCUGGCUCACAGGGUUGCAGGGGCUGAUGAACUUACAAUCCGCAGGUCAGGUGACAGGCUGGAGGCCUCUGCUGGCUCACAUGAUUGCAGGGGCUGAUGAACCUACAAUCCGCAGGUCAGGUGACAGGCCGGAGGCCUCUGCUGACUCACAUGGUUGCGGGGGCUGACGAACCUACAAUCUGCAGGUCAGGUGACAGGCCGGAGGCCUCUGCUGGCUCACGUGGUUGCGGGGGCUGACGAACCUACAAUCCGCAGGUCAGGUGACAGGCCGGAGGCCUCUGCUGGCUCACAUGGUUGCGGGGGCUGACAAACCUGCAAUCCGCAGGUCAGGUGACAGGCUGGAGGCCUCUGCUGGCUCACGUCCCAAGAACCAGAGGCUAGAUGAAGAGGAGAUUGCAGGGUGAGAGGGAGAGUGAGCUUUGCCAGAACAUCCAUUUAUAUACCGGAGGCAGGCCAUGCCCCCAAAAAACUCCUCUUCCAGCUGAUUGGCUGCUCACGUCAGAUCACAAAAGGGAAGGUGAUUACAUAGUGCUUGCCAAGCCACCGAGAAUCAGCCUAGCCAACCUGCCACAUAACAUGAACCAUCACAAUGACUAAACAAACCACGGUGCUUACCAACUGUGGAAUAUACUCAGCAAUAGCUACUUGGAUGGACCUUCAAGGAAUUAUGCUGAAUGAAAAAAGCCGAUCUCAAAAGGUUCCAUCUUGUAUGAUUCCAUUUAUGUAUCAUUACAGAGAACAGGUUAGUGGUUGCCAGGGUUAGGCAUGGGUAUGUGUGUGAGGGCGAUAACAUGAGGGAGCAUUGUGGUGAUAGGACAGUUCCGUAUCGUGAUUACAGUUGUUACACGAAUCUAUGUGUGAUAAAAUCGCAUGAGCUAAACACACACAAAUGAGUUCUUGCAAAACUGAUGAAAUCUGAAUAAACUUGUUGGAUUGUAUCAA